rnacentral:misc_RNA from 1 species
GAAAUGCGAUAAGUAAUGUGAAUUGCAGAAUUCAGUGAAUCAUCGAAUCUUUGAACGCACAUUGCGCCCGCCAGUAUUCUGGCGGGCAUGCCUGUCCGAGCGUCAUUUCAACCAUCAAGCCCCCGGGCUUGUGUUGGGGACCUGCGGCUGCCCGCAGGCCCUGAAAACCAGUGGCGGGCUCGCUGUCACACCGAGCGUAGUAGCAAUCACCUCGCUCAGGGCGUGCUGCGGGUUCCGGCCGUUAAACAGCCUUACAAAACCCAAGGUUCACCUCGGAUCAGGUAGGAAGACCCGCUGAACUUAAGC